GAGUACCUAGGGAUGUCAAAACAGAAGUUGUCGAAGUUGCAGCAUCUGGUCAAGAGAUAUCCACUCGUCCGUUUCAGCUUGUGAUUGGUCGUGUAUGGAAGGGAACAGCAUUUGGUGGUUUCAAAAGUCGUUCCCAAGUACCUUGGCUUGUAGACAAGUAUAUGAAGAAGGAGAUCAAAGUAGACGAGUACGUCACCCACAAUUUGACGCUUAAGGAGAUAAGCAAAGCUUUUGAUCUGAUGCAUGAAGGUGACUGCUUGCGCGUUGUGCUUAGUGUGUUCGAGUGAAUGAAACAACUUUGGUUGUUUUGGGUUGUCAGUUUAAUAACAUUUGAAGCUCUGAACUUUGAUACCCUCUGUCA